rnacentral:snRNA from 1 species
AAAAAUCUUAUUUAAUCCCAC